GCCUAUUCCAGGGCUUCUAGAGAAAAAUAAUGAGGGGUGUCACGGGGAAUGACUAUAUAGGUCUUGUAGAGGAGAAACAGGCGCUUCUUUUGCGCUAGGUAUCGAAGGGCGCUAUGUUCAAAAAUCUGAAACUAGAGCUCAAAAUUUGAAAAAAAUGUCAAAAAUUAGGGGGGUCGGCCUAUUCUAGGACUUCUAGAGAAAAAUAAUGAGGGGUGUCACGGGGUAUGACUAUAUAGGUCUUGUAGAGGAGAAACAGGCGCUUUUUUGCGCUAGGUAUCGAAGGGCGCUAUGUUCAAAA
rnacentral:lncRNA from 1 species